GGGGAAGAGAGCAAAGGGGAGAGCAUUUUUUCCCUACCAAAGGGUUCUCUUUUGUCUUUUGAGAGGCACACCUGUGGCAUAUGGAGGUUCCCAGGCUAAGGGUCUAAUUGGAGCUGUUGCUGCCAGUGUACGCCACAGCCACAGCCACGCCAGAUCCGAGCCACGUCUGUGACCUACACCACAGCUCACAGCUAUGCCAGAUCCUUAACCCAUUGAGUGAGGCCAGGGAUCAAACUCGCAACCUCACGGUUCCUAGUUGGAUUCAUUCCCACCGUGCCAAGAUGGGAACUCCGGAUUCGCUAUUUUUGCAAAAGGAUUUCCCAAAACCCACGGGUGAGGAGGAGGUAGCUAACAGGCGUAGGGCUUCUUUUUGAGGUGAUGAAAAUCUUCCAAAAUAUUCUGAAAUCUGGGGUGCUGGUUGCACGUAUCUGAGAAUGUACCAGAUGCCACUGCAUUGUGAAACACAGAAUGUGUGUCCUGGACUGGAUGCUUGAACAGAAAAACGGGCAAAGUUGGAAUGGAGUCUAGAGUUAAAUCACUAGUAACGUUGCAGCGUUGGCGUCUUAGCUGUGACAAACGUACCUCUGUAACAGCUGAUGUUCACAAUUGUCUAAAUGGCCCGUGGGGUUCGUGGAAACUCUGGGUCCUGGCUCUUGCAACUUUUCGGUAAAGCCAAAACUAUCUCCAAAGAAAAUUUUUAUUUAAAAAAUGACAACAGGGGGGAAAUUCCUAUCAUUUCUAUUAUCGCAGGCACUUUUUCCAUCUUUCCUACCACCGGGUGAAUGCACCCAGCUCUGGGCGUUGCUGUGAUCAUAGCCUGCAAAUCACAUCCUAUCACUGCCUCUCUCUCUCUUUUUUUUAACGUUAUUCACUUACUUUCAUAAAUUAUGUGGCUGCCGUUUUUGUAGUGAACGUUUUCCCGGGGACCGAGUGUCCCAUUUCACAAGUGCGCUGUGAUACCCUGAAAGCUCCCUGGCCUUGGUCUCUUGAGCUGCUUCCAGUUUUAUCAAACCAAUGUUUUAACACAUGGUGCGCCUUUCUCUGUUCCACGGGAUUCUCAGACCAUGUUCUCAGGAGCUGGGGUUCCAGAGUUAAUAGGGGUGAUUAUCAUUUUAAAAAGGCGUACGUUGUCAGGUUCCCUCCUAAAGGGUUAGCGCCAUGCCCGGGGACAUGGUAAAAAAAAA
rnacentral:lncRNA from 1 species